GCUAUUCUUUGUCGCUGAAAAGUAGAAGUAAGACGUUAAUAUAGAUUGUCUAAAGGACCUAUUUUACGCGUAGUUCAUGCAUUUAAGCAAUAAAACUGCAUGGAUCAGUUAAAAUUUGCAUUUAAGCCCAAAUCAAGGUCUUUUACAUAAAUAAGGAAAGAUGGAAUUGGAUAACAUGUCAUU